AUACGGAGGAUCCGAGCGUUAUCCGGAUUUAUUGGGUUUAAAGGGUGCGCAGGCGGGAGAUUAAGUCGGCGGUGAAAUUUUGCCGCUCAACUGUAAAAGUGCCUUCGAUACUGGUUUCCUUGAGUGUGGAUGAAGUAGGCGGAAUUUGUGGUGUAGCGGUGAAAUGCUUAGAUAUCACGAGGAACUCCGAUUGCGCAGGCAGCUUACUAAACCACUACUGACGCUCAGGCACGAAGGCGUGGGGAUCAAACAGGAUUAGAUACCCUGGUAGUCCACGCAGUAAACGAUGAUUACUGGCUGUUUGCGAUACAAUGUAAGCGGCUGAGCGAAAGCGUUAAGUAAUCCACCUGGGGAGUACGUUCGCAAGAAUGAAACUCAAAUGAAUUGACGGGG
rnacentral:rRNA from 1 species